GACAUUCAUACUAAAUUCUAGAUUUCCAGAAUGUCACAAGAAAGAAGUAGAAAAGCAUAUCAAUAAAAUGCUGGACCAAAAUAUUAUUGAACUCUCUUCUUCUCCUUGGAGCUCACCAAUUUGGUUUUUGUCCGAGACCUCAAUGUCGCAGCAAAAGAGUUGGGUGAGAUAGUAGGGAAUCUUGUUGAGCGGUGUUUGGAGGGUGAUAAAGAGACGGCGUGUCGAAAGAGAUAAUAUCUCUAAUAAGAUCAGCCUAUCAGGUUUGGGCAUUGAAAGGGUGAGCAUGCGUACAACUGCAACAGGGGCGCAGCCGUUAGAGAUCCCAGAUUCCCAGAGGGGGGAAAAGGCCGACAGCCGUGGCAGCUAAGGGUGGUUGCUCUUUUCAUCAAAUUAAGCCUGGGAAAAUCCUUAGGCCUGAGAAUGGUAUGGUGGACAUAUUUAUCCUGUGUCCGAUCUCUGCUGCCAAGAAGGUAUCCGAAGGGAGGCUUCUUUUUGGGUGGAGCUCGGCCAGGGAAGAAAUACGUAAGAAAUGACCUCUAAGAUGCUUUAAAUGUAUGCGACUGGGGCAUACAAGAGAAGUGUGUACAUCAGAGGAUCUAGGACUGGCGUGUUAUAGGUGUGAGUGCGGUUUGCAGGCGAAAGCUUUAUUGGUGACUUGGGUCUUGCGAUCCAGCGGGCUGGGACUUAAAGGCUGGGUUGACACUUUUGUAAAUCUCAGGGGGCCGCUUCUAGACGAGUGGGCGGCAGAGUUAGGGCUUCUGUUUAAUAAUAGGGGGACGGAGCGAACAUGUGUACGACCGCAGGGAGUCACGCUUGUCACUUCAAACUUCGCGUGGAUUUGGAGGUAAUCAGGGAUUUGGAGACGUUCUCAGAUCACCGUUACAUAAGAUUUGUUGUUUGUUAAUGCUUCUUUAGGCCCACCUCCCUUAACGGACUACAGCGAAAUAUUUGGGCAUGCACCUGGACAAACGCCUGACUUGGCAAGACCAUAUAAAAGCCAAGAAGGAGCAUGCUAUUGGUAGGUUUCGUAGCAUGAACUGGCUAUUAGGUAGAAAUGCGGCACUCAGUUUGGACAAUAAACUCCUCAUCUACAAAACUGUAAUAAAACCAAUAUGGAUAUAUGGAUAUAUAUGGAUCGGUAGUAAGAAGAAAGGCACAAUGUCUUCUUGCAGCACCUCAUACAAUGGGAAAAAGGACAGAGAAACCGUGGAAGGAACUAACGGCACUCCGGUUCUUCAAGCAAAUCGAAAAUAUUAGUGACCGUGAUGCAAUAGCUGGCCUGCCGCUAGUGCUGCUUGAAGAAGCGGCAGUUAUGUGGCAAGGUACUAAGAAUAUUAUCACUACUUUUGCUGCAAAGAAAGCAGCAUAUAUGCUGCUAUAUACAAUAACAACAGCUCAACAUUGUUUACGGUCUGAUAACUUAACCAUCCGGGAUAAAAAUUCCAGAGAGAAAGUGGUCAGUUUCGAGGACCUACGGAAACAAGCCCGUGCUAUGUGCCCGGUGAAACAUGUUAUAGUUUUAAUAACAAACUAAUGUUUAUUUUAAGAGUUCCAUUAGUAUCUACGAAUAGUUUUAAUUUAUAUGAAACAAUAGCAUUACCAAAUCCCUAUAGCAAUGUUAAUCCAACCACUUUUACUUUUAUUGUUCCCAGUUUUAAAUAUAUCGCAGUGGCCAAAGACAAAUCAGAAUACUGUCAUUUAGAUACUCUUAAUAAUUGCAAAUUAGUUAAUAUUAACCAACAUUCAAUUUUAAAAUACGAGACUCACUAUUUAAUCAUAUUUUAUGUUUUUCUUACAAUAAAAAACGUAGCCAUCUCCUAUCCAGAUCCUCUCGAUCAAAUCUCUGAAAUUAAUCAUACAGAAGAUAUCCCAGCACCCUAGCAUCAGAAGACACCUAUAAAGGAUAUCUUUUCCUAAACUUCUAAUUUUAACCCCGAAGUUUAGGCUUACCCCAGGAGAUGUUACAGCCUUAUUCUGUUAGCCUUAGAGCUGACUUCAUUCUCUCUUUUCGACAACAUAAACACUGCUUCCUAUUUAAUAAAGAUUACGCUCAAACCCAGUUGUUUCCUACUCCUUAUCCAAGACGGUUGCUCCAAAUUCAAUUAUUUUUUUUUAAAUCUAUAUUCAAAUUCAAUUACAGUACGCCGAAUAUGCGCGACCUGAGGAGACUGGUUCCAGUAUUGGUACCAUCAGAAUCUGAUUAUACUCAAGACUCGAUGUCAACGGUAGAAAAUAAUUCAUUGACAACACAUGAUCACCCAGGAAAAAUAAAGAAACGAAUGAAUCCUGUCGAUGUUGAGAUUCUGAAGAUUUUUCAGAGUUCAAAUAAAGUGCAGAUGAGCAACUCGCCUGUGAAAACACUAAUUUAAUCGGAAGAAGAUGAAGCACUCUUGGUCUCUGUAUUACCCUCUAUAUAAAGAUUACCAGAGGAUGAUAGAAUGGAAUUUAGGAUAGAUGUGAUGCAAUUAAUUAGGAAAUACAUUGAUCGCCUACGUAUGCACGACACUCCAUUCCUACAGACCCGGGCGAGUUGAAGAUGAGAUUUUAAGAUAAAUAACACAAGGUGUAAACAAAAAUAUCAACUUUGAUAAUACUUCUGCUGUUAGUACUAAUACUGUAUUGGAUUCAUUUAUUAAUGAGUCAAAAGUUUCAAUGUCUGCACUUCAUCACUCGGAAGAAUCAGAAACUGAUGCAGCAGUAAAUUCGAUUACCAAUAAUAAUAUAAAUACUCUUUCUGAAUCAACUACACAAGACACUACAUCAAGUUUUUGAGAACAUGUAAGAAUUAUUCAUAAUAAGUAAAUUAAAUAAAAAAAGGCCGUGGUUGUUCCUAAUAACGUAAGAUUGAUAUAGUUAAUAUUAGGUUUGGUUUUGUAUAACGACUGUUUACUUAACCAUGUACAAUUAUAAACUUAACCAAUGGUUAAUUUGUUGCCAGUGCAAUGAACAAUGACAUCCCAAAAAAUGUAGUUUGUUUUUGUGGGGAAUAUUUAUUUUGUAUGACACUAGACAUACUGAGUGAACGAAAUCCAUUUUUGCCAUCUUCAUUCGUUAUUUGCGCUUUGAAGAGUGUAAAGUGUCAAAUUAAUAUACAUUAUACUAUACUAAAAUACAUAAAUAACGAUGUCCGCAAACAGCCAACGGUCAAACAAGGACCGUACUGCUAACUUCGCCAAAAAAGAAACUCCCAAAUUAAAGGUGCUACUGAAGGAUUACCCAGUCCUAACCUGCAAAAAAGCUGAUCACUCCAGCAAUGUACAAAAAGAUGCAGUUUGGAAAUCUCUUCGUGACGUUUUCAAUUCCGAUGGAACACCGAAGUGUUAAGCAGUUACAGCAGAAAUAUAACAAUAUUAAAAAAAACUGCAAGAAUGGAAAUGGCAGCAGAGACGGAAGACGCCUAACAGGAGGUGGACCAGCUCCUCCUAAACCAUCAGACACCACAGAGUGGUUAAGUAUAAUGGGAGAGUCAAUAUCGGGUCUUCCUGCGGUGUAUGACAGCGAUGCAUUGGAUAUUAGUAAUGUAGAAGCAAAAAAUAUUAGAGACUCCUCUGAUGUAAAUAUAGAAUUUAAAAUUAGGACACGCCCAACAUGUGCCUGUAGUAAUGAAGAUCAAACAGUUGAACAUGUGCUCCUACAUUGCCCUAUAUUCGCAUCGUCCAGGCACGACCUGGAGCAACAAAUGCAGAUGACUGUAGACCGUGACGGCCUACAGGACAUGUUAAUAAAGCACAGAUCGUGCUGGAACAGUUCUGCGAUAAAAUUGUUAAAUAUAUUAAGGCGGCAAACAAAACUCCAAGAACGGGUCUCCCCUUUUUAGUUGAGAGCUAUCUCCUAGUGAAGGUGUACCCGCAGCAAUGCAGAAUCAAAAUGAACCAAAUAAUGAUGAAGCGAAGCGCAUGCGCCAGCGCGGCAGAAGGCCAAAUCAAAAGCCAGAUGCAGCGACCCGCGCCCCAGCACCACAGCCCGCUCCCGCACCAGAACUAUUGAAACAAGUGAUUGAGCGACCCGCACCAAAAAUCUCGUCAGGUCUUCCACAGCCAAAGAAACUUUCUACUACAGCAUCGGAACUGAUUAACGACAUUUUAUGGAAAGAGGGUCUCGUUCUUGACGGUGAGGUAGGCUUGGUCAACUCCCGGCCGAUCCAAGAGUUCAGCCCAGACGCAUCAGGCUUCGAAUCAUUACUUGAGGAAGAAUACAAGGCCAUCUCAGAUGCAGACAAAGCCUUUGUGAAGGCCAUCCCCCAAUCGGUUUAUAACCACAUUCACCACGUGCUGUACUGGUACAGACUAUCAAUACAAGCCGUGGCUAAUGGAACGUCAUCGCGUGAGCAGGAGCAACUAAUCAAUGUUGUGAACUCCCACGACGUAAGUGUCCCUUCUGGCGCCGCCAUCCCUUCUGGCGCCGCCGAUAUCUUGCAGGCCUUGGCGACUUUGAAGACGUGACUGGCGUCAAGCAUCGGAUGACAUCAACGGAACCGAACGACAUCGGGCAUUUUGGCAGAGCGACGGCUCAAACACAUCAACGGGUCUCGCGAGGAAUUGCGUCCCGGCUCGCCCAUGAAUAUUGUAAACAAAAAUAUUACAGAUGUAGCCGGGGCGUAUUUCGCGAGACGUGUGAUGUGAAGCUUAGAUAUAGAAAAAGUACCUGGACACAAUGAAAGGGGAGUAGAAAAGGCACUUCUCAAAGUAUGCCAUUGAUAAAAAACAGAGACUGGGAGAAAAACUGUAAGGAGAACAUUCCCAACUAUAUAGAAGAUCCAAAUGUAUUUGACUCUUCAACACCAAAGGCUAUGCUGCGAAAACCAGUCUCUAAAGAGUAACUCUUUUCUGUGUCCUACGACAAAAGGAAAAGUUAUUUUAACCCGUCGGAAACAAGGAAGCGGAUUAUGACAUACACGGAUAAAAAAAUUAAUUUUUUAAAACAAAAAGAAAUAAGAGAGCAUGAUUUAUCAAAAUAUGCUAAAGAAGAGCAUGAAAAACAUAUGCUGCACGAAGAAGAGGCUCACAAAAAAUCCAUGCUGCAUAAAGAGGAAGUACAUCAAAAAGCGAUGCAGUAGCAAGAAGAGCUGCAUCAAAUUGAGGUGGAAUGCAAGAAGCAACAUUUAGAAAAUAUGAAAUAGUUUCAUGUAAAUUUUGUAAUGUUUUUUUAAUAAAAAUAGUUUGCAUUUAAGUUAAAAUUAAAUAGUUUAUUAAUCAA